GACCAUCAGGUGCGGCAUUUGCUACUAUCGAUCGGCAGCCACACGUACGUAUAGCCACCGCGUCAAUUGCGUAAUUCGAUAGGCGGACCCCUCAUGCCAGCGUUCUAAUUUUGAGUUUCCUUAACUGCCCCCGGGCGUGUUCGCCACCUCGUACACCAAAUUAAGCUUCGUUGCGCGUCUUGGAAUGGUCGGGAACUGUAAACCACGAUGGACCUCUCUAGGUCCCAAGGAAGCCCUGCGGUCCUGUCCACGACGUACCGACAGCAGUCGAGCACAGCACUCUACAACCCAAUUCAGGGCGUUGCUCGCGUUGGGAGCGGGGAUCAACGGUCGUAAACCAACCCGUGAGAUCCCCCUGACGGCCACUAUUCGGCUCUCCUUCCACCCCUACUGCAGUUCAGGAGUACCGGGAAUGCCCGACCCGAUGUGUGCACGAUGUUACCACCACUGUCACCCGUCGCUCGUGCGCUCACACUCGAUUAGAGGUUUUCGGUAGAGUCAAGCCUAACGUGAGACGUUGAGCCCACGUACUUCAACCUUAGCGAUCAUUAG
rnacentral:rRNA from 1 species